CAGCCUCCCCAAUCGCCUCUAUCUCUAUUCUCGUUCUCGACUCUGAACUUGCCCUCUCUCUCCGUGCAACUGCAAACUACAAAAUCUACAAGAACCAGCAGUUCAAAACAUAUAUAUUUCAGUUUAUCUAUCUGUCUGCAAGAAUCAAAACCCAUAUCGGCAUAUCAUUUCAGAUUGUUCAAAAAAUCAAAACCCAUAUCUUUCAGUUUCCAUCGCCCGCUGUUCCAGUUCGGGUUCGCCGUUCGCAAGCUUCAGCCGCUGGCCCGCUGUCUCUCAACUCUCAAGCUUGCCCCCCUCUCUCUCUGCAACUGCUAACUCGUUUGGUUAGGAUCGGGCCUUAACAUUUAGCAAGAACAAGGGUCAAGAAACAUGCCUCUUCAGUCAUCAGGUUCUUUUCUGAAAGAAGAUAGUUGAUUAGGAAUGGGUGGAGUAGGGAAAAAGAAAAUAG